rnacentral:misc_RNA from 1 species
UGUAGUUAUCCCAGCUAAUGAGAGCUCGGUUGGCCUCCACCUGAAUAAAAAGCGCUUCUACUUAUUAGUGCUAGGCCCUAGAGCGUUCUGUGUUUUGAUUUUAUAUGGGGAAAAAUAAAAGAGACAGGAAAAACGAGGAUGGCAGGAAAUCUAAGAAGCCAAAGGUAGCUGAACCAGAUUAUGAAGAUGAUGACACUCAGGAUGGGAAUGAUUCAGGAUUAAUUCCAGAGGGGGCUUUUAAAAAGGUGGAUGAGGCAACUAAGCAGGAUGAGUAUGGAGCUAAAGACUACAGGUCAGUGCUGAAGCUUAAAGAUGAUCAUGGAUCUAGACCGCUGUGGGUGGCACCGGAUGGCCACAUCUUUCUGGAGUCCUUCUCACCUGUAUACAAGCAUGCUCACGACUUCCUUAUUGCAAUUUCUGAGCCUGUAUGUCGUCCAGAGCAUAUACACGAAUACAAGCUCACUCCAUAUUCACUGUAUGCAGCUGUCUCCGUUGGCCUACAAACCAGUGACAUCAUAGAGUAUCUGAGGCGCCUUAGUAAGACAUCUAUUCCAGAGGGAAUCAUUGAGUUCAUUAAGCUAUGCACUGUGAGCUAUGGAAAGCUUAAACUUGUUCUUAAACACAAUCGUUACUUUGUUGAGAGUGCAUUUCCAGAGGUUUUACAAAAAUUGCUUAAAGAUCAUGAGAUUCAGGCUUGUCGUUUGCGUGAAGAUGAAACACUAGCAGAUACGGAUGACCUGAUCAAAUCACAAACCACCAUUAAGUCAGCAUUGAAGCUCAACAAGCCUGCUACCAGCACUGCCGAAUCUGAAACAGUUGAACAGAAUGGAAAUGACAAAGAUGCCAUUCCGAGUGAUAUUUAUGAUUUCUAUGAUAAAAUUGAUAAAGAAGAUGAAGAAGGUGAAGAUUUACAAACCGUGUCCUUUGAAGUAAAGCAACAAGAGAUUGAAAAACUACAAAAAAGAUGUAUUGAGUUGGACUUCCCACUCUUAGCUGAGUAUGACUUCAGGAACGACACAAACAAUCCUGACCUCAACAUUGACUUAAAACCUACAACAAUACUAAGGCCCUACCAGGAAAAGAGUCUGCGCAAGAUGUUUGGUAAUGGACGUGCAAGAUCUGGAAUCAUUGUAUUGCCAUGUGGUGCCGGUAAGACCCUUGUUGGCGUGACAGCGGCCUGUACAGUACGUAAACGUUGUAUCGUCCUGUGCACCAGUGGAGUCGCAGUUGAACAGUGGAGGUCACAGUUCAAGAUGUGGUCUACAGUUGAUGAUACCAUGAUAUGCAGGUUCACCUCAGAUGCUAAAGAUAAACCAGUAGGUUGUACAAUAUGCAUUAGUACAUAUUCCAUGAUCUCUCACAGCAGUAAACGAUCCUGGGAAGCUGAGCAGGUGAUUAAAUGGCUCAAGAGCCAGGAGUGGGGACUGAUGGUUUUGGACGAGGUGCAUACAAUUCCAGCCAAGCAGUUCAGGAGAGUAUUGACUGAAGUACAAGCACAUUGCAAACUAGGCCUCACUGCAACACUCGUUAGGGAGGAUGACAAGAUCGCAGAUCUCAACUUCCUCAUCGGUCCAAAACUGUAUGAAGCAAAUUGGAUGGAGUUACAAAAUAAUGGACACAUUGCUAAAGUACAGUGUGCAGAGGUCUGGUGCCCUAUGACCCCAGAGUUCUAUCGUGAAUACCUGAGCAUCAGAAAUAGAAAACGAUUGUUGGUGUAUGUAAUGAAUCCAAAUAAGUUCCGAGCCUGUCAGUUUUUGGUUAAAUUCCACGAGCAACGCAACGACAAAGUGAUUGUGUUUUCAGAUAAUGUCUUUGCUCUCAUCCACUAUGCUAAAGCCAUGGAAAAGCCUUUCAUCUAUGGACCAACCACUCAGUCAGAACGUCUACACAUUCUACAAAACUUUGUACACAACCCAGCUGUAAAUACAAUAUUCAUUUCUAAGGUUGGUGAUAAUUCUUUUGAUCUUCCGGAAGCUAAUGUCCUAAUUCAAAUAUCCUCACAUGGAGGCUCACGUCGACAAGAGGCUCAACGUUUGGGAAGAAUUCUCCGCGCAAAAAAAGGAGCUGUAGCUGAAGAAUACAAUGCAUUCUUUUACACACUGGUCUCCCAGGAUACCCAGGAAAUGUACUACUCAAUGAAGCGUCAAAGUUUCUUGGUUAAUCAAGGGUACAGCUUCAAGGUGAUCACUAAGUUAGCAGGAAUUGAUGAGGAAAACCUAAAAUAUUCAACAAAAGCAGAGCAGCAGACACUGUUACAGCAGGUGAUGGCUGCCACAGACGAGGAUGCUGAAGAGGAGAGGGUUGCAGGUGAAAUGAGACCAGGCUCAUCACAAGUUAGCAGACGGGCAGGUGCGAUGAGCUCCAUGUCUGGUGGUGAUGACCAAGUUUACAUGCCCUAUAGCAAAUCAUCCAAAACAAAGGUUCAUCCACUAUUCAAGAAGUACCGAUUUUAGACAGAAAAUCUUUUCUUGAAGUUUUUUAAUUGAGUAGUAAAUUGAUGAACUGAAGGUUGGGCACUUUGCCUAGUAUAUGCUGAAAAGCAUACUAAUUUUUUUAUAGUGAUAUUUUAAUAUAAAUUGACAAAAAAAAAAUCAAUAUGCUCUUGCAAAUACUGUAUUUAUAAAUAAUAAUGUUUAAUUGCACUUUCUGCCAAUGCUCACAAACAUAGUAGUCUGUUGGUGUUCUUGACUGUAUUAUGCUAUAUAACAUAGCAACAAUACCAAUCAAUAAAUGAAUGUAAAUUAUGCUGCCGAUAUUAGAAAAUAAACAGUAUCGUCAAGUAUUAAGUCAUUACAAAUUGUCUUGGUAUCAAAAUGGAGGAAUGUAAAUGUGAGACCACAUACAGAGGUAAUGUAUUCAUUUAUUUGCUAUGUAGACAGUGUUGUCAAUGUUAUGCAAUGUUUUUUAUCAGCUGUGCUAUAUGCAUAUUAACCAAACCUUGAAUAUUCAGAAAUACAUAAUUAUAAUAAUUCAAUGUAUACAACUUGCAUACAUUCAUUUACUGUUCUAUUUAAUUCAGUUAUAAUCAAAUAAAUAAUCAGAAAAUGACAAUUAUA